rnacentral:rRNA from 1 species
UACAGAGGGUGCGAGCGUUAAUCGGAUUUACUGGGCGUAAAGCGUGCGCAGGCGGUUAUAUAAGACAGAUGUGAAAUCCCCGGGCUCAACCUGGGAACUGCGUUUGUGACUGUAUGACUAGAGUACGGCAGAGGGGGAUGGAAUUCCACGUGUAGCAGUGAAAUGCGUAGAGAUGUGGAGGAACACCGAUGGCGAAGGCAGCCCCCUGGGUCGACACUGACGCUCAUGUACGAAAGCGUGGGUAGCAAACAGG